AGCUGAUCCUGCUGGAGGAUACUGCUAUCGAAGUUCGACUAAGCCAUGCAAGUCCGAGAGCCCAACUAUGAGGGUAUCUGGCACACGGCUCAGUAACACGUAGUCAACCUACCCUAAAGAGAAGUAAAUCACGGGAAACUGUGUAUAAUGCUUCAUAGGCAAAAAUAACUGGAAUGUUUUUUUGCUAAAAAGAUAUUACUCAUGUGUAAUGAUCGCUUUAGGAUGGGACAGCGGCAGAUUAGGUUGUUGGCGGGGUAACGGCCCACCAAGCCGAAGAUCUGUACGGGCCUUGAGAGAGGGAGCCCGGAGAAGGGUACUGAGAUAAGGACCCUAGCCUUACGGGGUGCAGCAGGCGCGAAACCUCUACAAUGCGCGAAAGUGUGAUAGGGGGACUUCGAGUGCUAUUUAUAGCUUUUGUUAACUGUAAAAAGGUAGACGAAUAAAUGGGGGGCAAGAUACGUGCCAGCCGCCGCGGUAAUACGUACCCCAUAAGUGGUAUCCAGCAUUAUUGGGCCUAAAGCGUUCGUAGCCUGUUAAGUAAGUCUUUUGUGAAAUCAAUCAGCUUAACUGAUUGAAUUGCCAAAGAUACUGCUUGACUCGAGGCCGGAAGAAGUCAAGGGAAUUCCUGAGGUAGCAGUGAAAUGCAGUGAUGUCAGGAGGACCCCCAGUAGCGAAGGCGCUUGACUAGAACGGACCUGACGGUGAGGGACGAAAACUGAGGGAGCGACCCGGAUUAGAUACCCGGUUGGUCUCAGUCGUAAACGAUGUGGACUAGGUGUGCUAGCACUCACGAAGUGUAGGCGUGCCGAAGAGAAGUCAUUAAGUCCACCGCCUGGGUAGUACAAUCGCAAGGUUGAAACUUAAUGGAAUUGGCGGGGGCGCACUACAAGGGGUGGAUGCUGCGGUUCAAUUGGAUAAAACGCCAGACAACUCACCAGGGGCGACAGCAGAAUGAUGGUCAACCUGAAGGGCUUACCUGACACGCUGAGAGGUGUUGUAUGGUCAUCGUCGGCUCGUACUAUGAAGCGUCCUGUUAACUCAGGCAACGGGCGAGACCCACAUCAUUAGUUGCUAUCUUUUCCCACGGGAAGAGAGCACUCUAGUGAGACUGCAAAGGUAACUUCGAGGAAGGAGUGGUCAACGGUAGAUCUGUAUGGCCCGAAUCUCCUGGGCUACACGCGGCAUACAAUGGUUAAGACAAUGGGAUCCAAUCCCGAAAGGGCUAGGUAAUCUCCUAACCUUAACCUCAGUUCGAAUCGAGGGUUGUAACUCACUCUCGUGAACGCCUGGAAUCCCCAGUAAUCGCGCGUCAACAUCGCGCGGUGAAUAAGUCCCUGCGCCUUGCACACACCGCCCAUCAAGCCAGCUGAAUGGAGCUUGGAUGAGCUAUAGUCCUUUGGGCUAUAUCGAUUCUGAGUUCUGUAAGGCGGGCUAAGUUGUAACAAGGUG
rnacentral:rRNA from 1 species